CUGUGGACAGGGGAUAAGACAGGCCAGGGGCAAUCCAGCCCCAGCUCUGUGGCCUAAGAAGGGGGUGUGUCACCAUGGCCUGGAUCCCCGUCCUCCUCGUGCUCCUAUGUCACUGCGCAGGUUCCCUGUCCCAGCCUGUUGUGACUCAGCCAGCCUCCCUCUCUGCAUCUCUGGGAGCCACAGCCAGACUCACCUGCACCCUGAGCAGGGACAUCAAUGUUGGAGGCUACUACAUAUACUGGUACCAACAGAAUCCAGGGAGCCCUCCCCGGUAUCUCCUGUACUACUACUCAGACUCCAGUACACAGUUGGGACCUGGGGUCCCCAGCCGCUUCUCCGGAUCCAAAGAUGCCUCGGCCAAUGCAGGGCUCCUGCUCAUCUCUGGGCUGCAGCCUGAGGACGAGGCUGACUAUUACUGUGCAAUCGGGCACAGUAGUGCUGGUCACAGUGACACAGACACAUGGGGAAGUGGACAAAUACCUCACCCUGCUCAGACCCCUGCACUCUGACUCUCUUCCAGUUGAAAAUAACUUAA